UGGUGCUCAAAAGUAUAAUCCCUGGACCAGCAGCAACAGCAUCACCUGGGAAGAUGAUAAAAAUAGCAGCCAUUGUGAGACCAUGAAGAAUGGAGUCUACACUAAGGAAGGCUGAAGAGAAAGAUUCAGCUUAGGGAGCCUUUGGAACCACUAUUUAUCUGGAGAUUUUGGGAACUGAAACUUCCAAUGGGUCAGUGAAAGCAAGAAAAUAACAGCACAAGGUCCAGAAUCCAGAAGACUGCCCUGGACACUUAGGGGAAGAAAGAUGGCUUUGCAGAUUUUGAUUGUUUGAAGGCCAGCUAGCACAAUCACAACCCUGCAGGCUAUGUGGAAC